CUUUCUGGUUUAGUUUGCUUUUCUAGUUUUCUUUCUUUUUCCUGUCCUACAGGUGUACAGAUAGGUUACUGAUUCCAUACUGUUUCCAUAUUUUCCUUCCUUUUUAUUAAUAAUGUAGCCAUAAACUCCUAUAAAUUUCUUUGUGAGUGCUGUUAUUGCUGGCUUUUGUAAGAUUUAGUGUAUUGUGUUUUGCUUUCUAUUUUAUUUCAUUGCAGUCAGAGAAUGUAUUUUGUUUAAGUUCAAUCUUUAAUUUUUUUUCUUUUUGAGACAGAGUCUUCAUCUCUCACUCCAGCUAGAGUGCAGUGGCAUCAUCAUAGCUCACAGCAACCUCAAACUAGUGGACUCACCCGAUCAUCCUGCCUCAGCCUCCUGACUAACUGAGAUUACAGGUGCCCACCACCACGCAUGACUAAUUUUUCUAUUUUUUCGUAGAGACAAGGUCUUACUCUUAGUCAGGCUGGUUUCAAAUUCCUGGCCUCAGUGAUCCUCCCGCCUCAGCCUCCCAGAGUGUUAGAAUUACAGAUUCAAGGCAGCUUGUGGAAAUGCCUGCAAUUCAGCAAGACCAAAUAGAAUAUAAAAAUAGCUGAGUGCAUCUGGACACCCGGAGUGUGGGGCUGUGACAAUAACAACAAUCCAGAUGUGGCCUUGGUAGACAAGAAGUGCUGUCAAAUCUUAAACCCUAGCUAGAGGUCACAUCCUGCACCCAGUUGGGAGGAUAUGGGCUGUGGCCCUGUAAAUGAGUUCCGAAAGCAUCCUGCGAGUCCCUUGCAGCUCCUGCCCAGCCCGCCUGGGCUGGCUCCGUCACCAUCAGCGUCCUCAGCCUUUUUUUGCCGAUCUUUGAAGCGUGGAGAUGGCCCUGCAGCGUGCUAGUAAAGUACAUCUGUCUGUGGAAAGCACCACGCCAGUGGCUCCAUCCACUCCCAAGUGCAGCUGCACUCUCAGCACCAACGGCCCAGACUCUCUGCAGCUCAUCUUCCAUCAAUGAGACUUUCCCUAGAACCUCACUUCCCCAACUUAUCCCUGAGCUGGUUGGGAUCCACCUCAUGCCCAGCCUUCCCUCUACACAGCCUAUGCCUGAGCCCCUGGUGGGUUUCUUCUUUCUGGCAGCACUUUCCGUAUUUGUAAUUUUUUAAAUGUGAUUUAUUAUUUAUUUCUUUUGCUCAAACCUGAACUCCUCAAGGGAAGGGACCAGGCCCAACUUGUCCCCUUCUGGUGUCCCUGGCAGAUCUGAGUACCUCGCAUAUGGAACACUUUGGGCAAAACAUGUCCUGAUGACAGAAAAAGCUCUUGGUGCUGUGAACAUCAGGAGAUGGAAAGACCCUUCCUGGAACUUCACUUGGAUUGCCCAGUGUCUAGACCCGGUCUGUGGGAGUGAGGGUGCCAACUUGGGUGUCCUGACGUGGAAGCCAGCCCACAGCAGGAAGCCACACAAACAACAGCUCUAAUGACAGCAGAAGAGUCUUGGUAAAUUGAUAGCGAGGUUAAAGUUGCUAAGUCUUGCCAUUUUCAUAAAUUUGUAUUUUUAACAAAUAAGAAGUAGAAAAUGAUAAUUCAGCAAGAGAAUUGAUGUGAAAACCUAUUUUGAAUAUCAAAGACGUACUCUACAGCCAAAACUAGAAGUCAUCUGCUGGCCAGUCCUUAUCUAACUUAUAGGUUCAGUUGUGGACUUAAAUAUAAAAACCGUAGGCCAGGCACAGUGGCUCAUGCCUGUCAUCCCAGCAUUCUGUGAGGCCGAGGCUGGUGUAUAGCUUGAGCUCAGGAGUUCAAGACCAUCCUGAGCAAGAGCAAGACCCCCUUCUCUACCAAAAACAGAAAAAUUAGCCUGGUGUGGUGGCAGGUGCUUAUAGUCUCAGCUACUUGGGAGGCUAAAGCAGGAGGACCACUUGAGGUCAGGAGUUUGCGGCUUCUGUGAGCUAUAAUGAUGCCACUGCACUCUACCCAGGGUGACAGAGUGAAACUCUGUCCCUUCCCCCCACAGGCCAGUUGAGUAGAACUCAACUUCUACAAUGGUAACUAAAGGCCACAGCAUAAGAAUGACUCUGAAGGCCCAGUCUAGGGAUGGCUCAGAAGAGACAGGUGCACUGCUGCAGUCUCCUCCCACGGUACCACGGAGGGGACCGCUAUUUGUCUGUGGGAUCAGCACUGACCUCUAGCAAUGGGAAAGGUAGAGCAAGUCACUGUUAAGAUAGAGACUCCUCCUAGAUCAUAGGCAGACACAGCAUCCUCAUCAAGGCCCCGUGUGCCUGUGUGACUCUGAGUGUCCUGCUGGCUGGAAACUGCCAGCUCACUUGUCAUUCUGUUCCAAGGAGUGUCCUUCUAAAGGUAAUGAAGCCAGUGGGGAGGACAGCAGUGAGCUGGGGCUGCACGUCAGGCCAGCAGAAGAAGCCCGGAGCUGUGGGUCUGAGCAAGGGUGCACUAGAGGAGUGAGGCAGGAGGAGCCUGGUCCAUGGGAAAUGGGAGGUGCUGGGGAGGAGUGGGGGCAGGAGCUGGGAAAGUGGAGAUGGUUGUCUGGGUACUCUGAGCUGUCCUGAGGGAACAGAGUCAGCUUGAAGCACCAGCGCAAGACCUGAGCUGCCUGAUCCCAGCCGAGCUGCCCGGGAGCCUCUCUCCUCCCUUGUUUCGCUUUCUUACUUUUUGUUUAUAGCUGCUCCUUCCUUCUUCCAAAUAGUUCCAAAGGACCAAUGGGGAGAGCACCUCACUCAAAAUUAUUUGUCCUGCAUCUGGUAACUUGGACUGAUGUUGAGAUUCCCAGGUUCAACCCAGAGGCAGAGUGUAAGAAACAGAGUAAGUCUUUAAGGCAGAGGCUCCCCCAUCCGGCCUUCCUCCCCCCAUCAGCCAGCAGGGGCAGCACUCAGGGCAGCCCACCCUCUGGAGCUGACACAAUUCCUCCCGUCAGCGGUGAGUAGCCAAGACAAGGAGAGGGUGAGCACACAGUGACAUUCGUGCUUACAGGAGGUUACACUGCGGAGGGGAUGAUGGACUGAACACAGGCCAGAUGGGACAGGAUGACUAAUCGGUAAAAACAGGUUGACCAGCAGGUCCAGGAAGAGAGUCGCCCGUGGACAAGGGGCCUUGGGAUUGUGAAUGUUGUAAGUUCACUACACCGACAAUACUUUAUUUCCUAAUAUUACCAGCAUCUCAACAGUCCCAGCAGGUCUACUGUCUUUAGGGAACGUGUCCCUAAAUACCUGUGCCCAAAAGACAAGGUCACAUGGGGGCCCUGGGGCCUAUGAGUGGCUGGUGAGCUCCCAAUUGCUUCGGACAGCCGGGUGUCAACAGCUGCCUUUCCAGAGGGUCUCUCCGGCCGCCGUGCCUUCUUUAAACCCAACUGCUGCAUGUAGGUAAUCAGGGAGAUGUAGAGGCCAAUAUGAAAAGACCACUUGGAGCCGCGAGGUCCCUGGAAUGCAGGGACGGCACGUCCUGUGUGCUGAGAGCAGGCAUGUUCAACAGUGGGGCCAGCACUGGCCUGGCUUAGUGGCUCUCCUGCACCUGACCUGGCCAGCACUGGCCGGGCUUAGUGGCUCCCCUGCACCUGACCUGGGCAGGCACGCGAGGAUUUGCAAUCCCGAAGCCAGUAGACUCCCAUGCAGGUCAGCUGCCAGGCAUUUCAGCGUUCUCUGUGAUCUCACAGGAUUCUCUUUUCACAUUUCCAAUAAACUGUCUCAUGGGAAGAUAAUAAAAACAAGAGGAAUGGUGACAGUUACUACUUACUGACUGCUGACUAUAUGUCAGCCCUGGGCUGGGUGUCUUGGGGGGUAGCAUUUGUAAAGCUGCCAAUAGCUCCACAAGAUAGGCCCAUAGUAUGUUUAUCUAUUGCCAUUUAACAAACUAUACCAAGACUCAGUGGAUUAAAACAACUCUUUAUUACUGCAUCUCACGAUAAAUAGCGUGGUGAGGAGUUCAGACGGGACUCAUCAAAGGAGCUACAGUCGGCGGUACGAUGUCUGAGACCUCCGCUGGCUUGGCUCCCAUGGCCGUGGGGUAGCUGUAGGCAGCUUCGGCUUCCUCACAUCAUGGUGGCCUCAGGGGCCCUGUACCGCCAACAGCCCCCAGAGCAUGUGUUGCUAUUUCUGAGAGUGGGAGCUGCCACUGGGACUGGCGCAGAAUCCUGUCCUGUGUGUCCUGUUGGUCAAACCAGUCAUAGAAUCCUCCUGGAUUCCAGGGGAGGGAACAGAGACCCCACCUCUCAGCGGGAGGAAGAGAGAGAUUUGGCUGCCGUCUUUAAGGUACCGCAUUAUUAUUAUUCCUAUUUUAUAGAAAAGGAAACUGAGGCGGAAAGCCGUAAGUAAUUUACGGCUUAGAAGAAAUAUAGCUGAGGUUGAAAGUGUGGCACCUACAAUCCUGUCUCUGUCUGGUGUACAGCCUGCUCUCUCAAAAUACGGUUAAGCAGUCCAAUAAGAUAAAACCAGUUGAGGGACGAACUAUACUCUUCUGACGGGAUUCAGAACAACCAAUAGCAAAAAAAAAAAAAAAAAAAAAGCCACCUUCUUUUUAUACUGCGUCUUACUGACUCUAGAGGCCCAGCAUAUACAGCUGUAGAAUCUAAAACUUCAGCCUCAGUCUCAGAGGUUGUUCAAGGUAAAAGAGUAGGAAAAAACCCACAAAUGAAUAAAAUCACAAAUUUAAAUGAAAAGUACCUGGCUCAGGGUAGAUUUCUUUCCCCAGAGGGUAGAAAUAUGUUUACGUUAUGAAAUAAGCUGGAAUCCAAUGGGAACCCCUUGUUAUUAUUAGAUUUCCUCUUCAGAAGGAUUUAUAAAUGAAAACACAACUUGCUAUUUUAGUAUUUUGUUUUUCAAAGAGGAAAAAAAAAACCCUUUGCAAAACAAAUUUAAAAGGAAAUACUUAAUCCAUUUCAAGCGCUUGUUUAUUUUCUUAUUUGCCAAGCUAAGACUGCCUUCUUUCAUCUCUGGUUUUGUAGAGGGCUGGAGAAAAAAGAGUUUCGGUUCUGUUUUGUUUUGUUGCUUUUUUCCCUUUCUCCAAAUCGGGAAGGUCUCUUUCCCCCUCCUCUGGCAUAACCGCAGGCCAAGAGCUCCCCUCAGUGGGGACAGGAAAAGACACCAUGCGGCGGGGUGUGUGUGUGUGUGUGUCAAGCUUGGUGACCCGCUGCAGUAUUCACGUGAGGUCCAGUAGCAUUACAGACAAGCUGCGGCCCUGACCCCGCCGUGUGCCUGCCAGCCCUGAGCCCACACUCUGCUGUGUCUUCCAGCAUUUUCCUCAUUAUAAUGUGAUUCUAAUGUGAUUCUCUGCUACACAAGGAGGCAAGGCUGUUGAGGUCCCAGGGCUGCUUUUGCAAUCCUAGUGCCUUGCAGGCUUUUUUUUUUUUUUUCCUUUU